UGGAAAGAGUAAGUUUCUAAACCCAAUAAGAAAGCAGUUAAUAAAGCAUUAUUAGGUGCAAAAGAAGCUAUGCUUGGGAUUAGAUGAGGCUGCAGGUGUUCCUUUCAUGCAGAUUGAACCAGAAUCACAAACAAAACUUUUGGAUGCUACACUGAACUUGAAAGGAGUGUUGUUGGCUGGAGUUCCAGGAGCAGGAGGAUUUGAUGUUGUCUUUGCUGUUACUUUGGGAGAUUCAAGCAGCAAUGUGAAAAAAAUAUGGAGCUUACUCAAUGUUAUUUAAUAUUUAAAAUUAUUGAAUUUAAUUAUUUGAAAUUGUAUAUUAAAUUUUUAAUAAUUUUAUUUAAUAUUUAAUUAAACCGGUUGAACCCCAGUCAAACCGAUAAACCGUUAAACCAGUGAUCUUAUCGGUUUAUUGACCGGUCCAGUUCUCGCAACGUUGCUUCCGAACUCCUCCUUCAGCCCUCUCCCCUCCAAGUUCCAACCCUAAUUUCCAUUGCACCCUAGUUCGGCGUCGUCUGUCUCUCUCUCUCUCUCAAACUGCAGCAGCAGUGGUGCUCACUAAGCCAGCGUCGCCUAACAUUCAAAAUUUAGUCACCUCUGGAAGCUCUGCUCGGCCCUCUUCUCCUCUACG